rnacentral:rRNA from 1 species
GGUGAGUCCUUUGAAAUGUACUGAACUGUACUCUCUCUUUGCUCGAAAAGCGUGGCGUUGCUGGUUGUGGAGGCUGCCCGUGUGGCCAGUCGGCGACCGGUUCGUUAGCUGUGGCGUUUAAUGGA